rnacentral:rRNA from 1 species
AUUGAACGCUGGCGGCAGGCCUAACACAUGCAAGUCGAACGGUAACAGGAAGAAGCUUGCUUCUUUGCUGACGAGUGGCGGACGGGUGAGUAAUGUCUGGGAAACUGCCUGAUGGAGGGGGAUAACUACUGGAAACGGUAGCUAAUACCGCAUAACGUCGCAAGACCAAAGAGGGGGACCUUCGGGCCUCUUGCCAUCGGAUGUGCCCAGAUGGGAUUAGCUAGAGGUGGGGUAACGGCUCACCUAGGCGACGAUCCCUAGCUGGGUCUGACGAGGAUGACCAGCCACACUGGAACUGAGACACGGUCCAGACUCCUACGGGAG